rnacentral:rRNA from 1 species
UACAGAGGUCUCAAGCGUUGUUCGGAUUCAUUGGGCGUAAAGGGUGCGUAGGCGGCGCGGUAAGUCGGAUGUGAAAUCUCGGAGCUUAACUCCGAAACUGCAUUCGAUACUGCCGUGCUUGAGGACUGGAGAGGAGACUGGAAUUUACGGUGUAGCGGUGAAAUGCGUAGAUAUCAUCAGGAACACCGGAGGCGAAGGCGGCUCACUGGGGGUCUUCUGACGCUGAGGAACGAAAGCCAGGGGAGCGAACGGG